rnacentral:rRNA from 1 species
GCGGUUAUAGCACACACACGCACUACCUAUUUGUGUACCGACGUUAGGUCAACACACGCAAGUGUGUGGCCUACUAACCUACACACCAUUGACCAACCAAUAAUCAAACCAAACUCUGAAGCUUUGGCUGCUGUUAAUCGGCAGUUUUAACAAAGAACAACUCUCAACAACGGAUAUCUUGGCUCUCGCAACGAUGAAGAACGCAGCGAAAUGCGAUACGUAGUGUGAAUUGCAGAAUUCCGUGAACCAUCGAAUCUUUGAACGCAUAUUGCGCUCGACCCCCCGGGGAAGAGCAUGUCUGCCUCAGCGUCGGUUUACACCCUCACCCCACUUACUUCACAGUAAGCGCUUGCUGCGUUGUAUGACCAGCAACUGGGAUGGAUCUGGCCCUCCCAAUUGAAGCAAUUCGAUUGGGUUGGCUGAAGCACAGAGGCUUAAACUGGGACCCGUACCGGGCUCAACUGGAUAGGUAGCAACACCUUCGGGUGCCUACACGAAGUUGUGUCUGAGGACCUGGUUAGGAGCCAAGCAGGAAACAUGGAAACAUGUACUCUGUAUUCGACCUGAGCUCAGGCAAGGCUACCCGCUGAAUUUAAACCAA